rnacentral:rRNA from 1 species
UCCGUAGGUGAACCUGCGGAAGGAUCAAUAGAAGAGGAGGGGUGAUGGGGGAGUGUUGGAACGAUGAGAAAUUGAUUUAUUUAACUACUACAACAUCACGACUGCUGACAAUGGAUCUCUGGGCUCUUGCGUCGAUGAAGAACGCAGCAAAACGCGAAAAGUGUUAUGAUGUGCAGUCUUUGAGAAUGAGCAGUAUUUGAACGCAGCAUGUGCGAGAGCGAUGAGCGAUUGCAUGAUCGAUUGAGGGAGGCGAGCGAUUGAAGGGGACUUCAGGAGUGGGGAGUGCAACGAGAAAUUGGUGCUGCCCCGAAAAGUAACUUUUGUGUUUCUGGGAUAAUCCAUCAGAAACGUUUACCAUCUUUCUCCUCAGUGGAUCAAGACGACCCACCGAACUUAA